GGUGGGUACGUCAAUGGUGGCAAACAGUCUUGAAAACUGCGGCGUGUAAAAGCGUAGGGGGUUCGAUUCCUCCACCCACCGCCA
rnacentral:tRNA from 1 species